GGCCUCGUCGCUCAGCUGGUAGAGCAUGCACGUGCAAAGCGUAGGCGACGUCCAUGCGUGGGUUCGAAUCCCACCGAGGCUA
rfam:Echinostoma caproni strain Egypt genome assembly, scaffold: ECPE_scaffold0012639